GUCCGCCAGGUUUCUCCAAUGGUGUUAUUUUUCAUUUUGCAAAGGUGCUAUUUUUUGUUCUCCAAGUUCUGUUCUUUGGAAGUGAGUCACUAAGUCCAUGCCACACUUCAGAGGAAGGAAAUUAAGCCCCUCUUUCUGAAGGAGAAGGUAUCAACAUAUAAUAUUUGGAAUUCUUCUGUAGAAAAUCUGGGGAUUUAAAAAGGGAAGUAACUUGCCCAAGGUCACAUACCUUGCAAGUUGCAAAGCCUGUUUUGUCUGUCUUCUUAGACAUCAUGCAACGUGGUCUCUCGGUACUGUGACACCAGGAAUGCUGGAUGAUUAAGAGACUUGCUCAAGCAAAGAGGACACUCAUGGUGGAAGCUAUGUAGAAUUCAUAUUCCCAGAAUGCCUUAUAGCUAGGAUAUGAAUGAUUAACCUGGCCUCAGCCAAUUAGAACAUCUGCCAGAGACUUAAGUUCAGAUGUAACCAUCGUGAAGAAGUGGCUGGGCAGGAGUAUCAACUCCGGGCAAAGGAUGUCUCUUCUGAAGCAACAGCGCCCAGGGCUAAGUCAUGUUUGCUCAGCAGGAGUGCUCAUAUUUCUCAAGAGAUGCCUCAGUGGGGUUGGGCAUUAUUCACAGCUGUGUAACCUCAAAAUCUGGCUUUCUGGCCCAAAUGAAUGUUCUGUGAGUUACUUGAAACCCUUUAAUAAAUUCUUUGCCUGCUUAAAAUAGCCACAGUGAAUUCUGUUUGCAACUUAGAACCCCC
rnacentral:lncRNA from 1 species